UUUACUUGUGGUUUCUAUCACAAUAUUGUAUACUUUUUAAAUUGUGUAAUUUUCCUAACAUUCACAUUUUUACAUAAUUAGAGUUUUUCAAAAUUGUGUAAUAACUAAAGGGAGUGUAAAACAUAAUUUCUAGUGACUCUACAAUGCAUUAAAGAGAGGGAGGUCCGAUUCACAACCGUUCAAUCUUGUCAAAAAUGAUUGAGAAUCCGUGUUUUUCAGUCUCAAAAUUGAUUAUUCUAAAUUGCGGUUCUCUUUAAAAGUUACUAACGGAUUUAUACAACAAGAAAAGGAAGGAAAUAUUGAGAAAUUUUAUCUGAAACUAAGUCUACAGUCUCUUUAAUAAGUUCUAGUGUCUUUUAACUUGUUGUGGUUAAAAACACCCACUGUAUUCUCUAUAUAUGGAGGAGGGUGAUAGCUCUGCUGCAGUUACAAGACUAAUAUCAACAAUGAACCCCACUUCAAUCCUUCUUUUGUUAUUCCUUUGUGGUUCUACACUGGCUAAACAGUGCUAUGUCUGUAAUUCUGCCGCGGACAAGUGUUCUGAAA